GGGGUCAUAGCUCAGCUGGGAGAGNNAGGUCAGGGGUUCGAUCCCCCUUGACUCCACCA
rnacentral:tRNA from 1 species